GACGAACGCUGGCGGCGUGCUUAACACAUGCAAGUCGAACGGAAAGGCCCUUCUUUUGUGGGGUGCUCGAGUGGCGAACGGGUGAGUAACACGUGAGUAACCUGCCCUUGACUUUGGGAUAACUUCAGGAAACUGGGGCUAAUACCGGAUAGGAGCUCCUGCUGCAUGGUGGGGGUUGGAAAGUUUCGGCGGUUGGGGAUGGACUCGCGGCUUAUCAGCUUGUUGGUGGGGUAGUGGCUUACCAAGGCUUUGACGGGUAGCCGGCCUGAGAGGGUGACCGGCCACAUUGGGAAUGAGAUACGGCACAGACUCCUACGGGAGGAAGCAGUGGGGAAUAUUGCACAAUGGGCGGAAGCCUGAGGCAGCAACGCCGCGUGCGGGAUGACGGCCUUCGGGGUGUAAACCGAUUUCGCCUGUGACGAAGCGUGAGUGACGGUAAUGGGUAAAGAAGCACAGGAUAACUACGUG
rnacentral:rRNA from 1 species